rnacentral:lncRNA from 1 species
UGGAUAAUCUAUUGAUAGAAACCCAACAGAUGACCAAUCGGUUCCAACACAUGGUCCAUCUGUUGAAAGAACCCAAAAGUCAAAAUUGCUAGUGCUACUGGAUUCAACAUUGCCUCCAACCGUCGACAUGUUAACAUGUAUUAGAUUAGAAGAAAUAGACAGAAUGAAAAUUGAAUAAGAAUUAAAAUGCCAAAGUUUGACUAAAAGUAAAUUU